AAUCAACGCUGGCGGCGUGCCUAACACAUGCAAGUCGAGCGGGAAAGGGGGCUUCGGCCCCUGAGUAUAGCGGCGGACGGGUGAGUAACACGUGGGUAAUUUGCCCUUGGGUGUGGAAUAACUCAGGGAAACUUGAGCUAAUACCGCAUGACAUCCCCUUCACACACGAGUCGGGGAUCAAAGCCGGGGACCCUUCGGGGCCUGGCGCCUGAGGAGAAGCCCGCGCCCGAUUAGCUAGUGGUGAGGUAAUGGCUCACCAAGGCUUCGAUCGGUAGCCGGCCUGAGAGGGCGGACGGCCACACUGGGACUGAGACACGGCCCAGACUCCUACGGGAGGCAGCAGUGGGGAAUUUUUGUCAAUGGGGGAAACCCUGAACAAGCAACGCCGCGUGGAGGACGACGACCU
rnacentral:rRNA from 1 species